AAAUUCUCACCUAAAGUUGAUACUAAUAUUACAAUAACUCUCUUGUGCCCUAUUUUGGUGUUUUAAACUUCUUUGCUGUACAUUUAAGAAAAUCAGAAUUUCAGUAGACUCCUCGUGCAGUCUGAGGAGGCAGUUUCCUAUCUGGUUUGACUUAAGGGGCUGCAGAAGACAUUCUUAUCCCACAUAUUUCUUCUGCUGAUCAGUCAGCAACUGAAAUUCCAACUAAUGGAUUCCAUUCUUCCAGUUAAGACAUCAUCUCCAGAAAACUGUGCUAGUUGGCAUCCAGCAGUGCCCAAGUAUUAUUUAACCCACUAGAACCUGUGACUGCAUCAGCUUUAUAUCCUGGACCUCAGCCUGGAACAAAGGAGAGCUACACUUGGAUACUAAACACAAGUGGUCUGGAUAGAUUAUGCUGGGAAAAGAAGCCUGGAGCAGGCAGUACAGUGGGAGAACAAGACAGAAGUGCUUGCCUUGGUGAUCCAAAAAAGGCAGGAUCCGGCCGGGGGCAAGGUGAUUAUUCUGUCUGAUGAGGAGAAUAAGAGCCAGUUUGUGGUAUUGACAGAAGAAUGAAAGUAAAGUCUUGAAAGAUGGGAAGAUCAGGAGCAGUCUGGAGUCAUGGUAUAUGAAUGAACUAGUGAGAGUGGGCACAAAGUCUGAAGAUCUUUGUAGUGCAGCUAAUGUCUAAGGGAGAAUAUACCUACCCUAGAAGAGACAUUAAACAACCAGGUAAUUGGAGUAGACAAAGUGUCAGCCAGUCAAUAUCAGCCAUACUCUGUCAUCAGAGACUUCAGUGUUUGGACAAUAAGCACAUGAACAGAGUAAGCAUGGUGUAAGGGAUGCAGGUUUUGCAUGGGCCCCACCAAUUUACUGAAGUUGUUAUAACUUCUGUCACUGCCAAAUGUCCCAGAAGUAGCAACAGAGACCAACACUAAGCCCCCAAUACAGCACUAUCUCUUCAGGAGAUCAACCAGCCAACCUGGUGGCAAGUUAAAUUCAUUGGACUUCUUCCAUCCUCAAAGGAUGGAAGCAUUAAUUCAUUUCGAAUUAAUGCUUUUUGAAUUUAUACAUAUUCCAGGUAUGGUCUGUGUUUUAUGUCAAAGAACCUCAAACAGCACCAUUAGCCGUGGGAUUGCAGAGAGUUUAGUCCAUCAACAGGAGAUCUCAUAUAGCAUUGCCUCACACUAACACAGUGGUUCUUAACCAUGGGCAAUUCCUUAUCUCCCAUAUCCCACCCCCAAGACCUUUGGCAAUGUCUGGAGACAUUUGUGAUUGUCGGAAACGGGAGGAUAUUACUGACAUCUAGUGGCUAGAGAGUUGCUGCUAAAUAUCCUGUAGUGGACAGGACAGCCUCCCUCAAUAAAUAAUCCACCCCAAAAUGUCAAUAUGCCACUGUUCAGAAAUUCUGGACUAAGAGCAACCUCUAUUCUGUUUUCCAUAAUGGCUGUAUUGAUGUACAUUGCUGUAAACAGUGUAAAAGUAUUUGCUUUUCUCCACAUCCUCACUAAUACUUGUCUCUUUUUUUGAUACACAUCCUAAAAGGUGUGAGCUGAUAUGUCAUUGUGGUUUUAAUUUGCAUCUCCCUGGUAAUUAGUGAUGUUGAGUAUUACUUGUCAACCAUUUGUAUCUCUCUUUUGAGGAAUGUCUACUAAGGUUCUUUGCCCAUUUUUUAAUCAGAUUUUUUUCUUGCUGUUGAGUUGGGUCCCUUAUAUACUUUUGAUAUUAACUCCUUAUCAGAUAUGUAGUUUACAAAUAUUUACUUCUAUUCCAUAGGUUGUCUCUUCAUUCUGUUGAUUGUUUCCUUUGUUGUAAAAGAAACUCACUUUACAGGAAAAGAGGUGCAACAGUGGCUGGAUGAUUAUAAGAUCGACUGUUCCUAUUAAAAACUACACCAUCCAAAAGAGGCUGCCAUUGAAGAGCAAUAAAGUAGUUCAUAGAAGGCAUAGGUGAGGCAGAAGCUUGAAAAUGAUACCAUAUAAGGAUAAGAAAUCAUAUUCCAAGAUACAGUCUAUACUCAAGUCUCAUGACCAUUGUAUGGUACUGUGCUCCAUUAUUUAGAUAUGUGGUGCUCCAUUGGUUACACAUGGUGGCAGGCAUGAAGAGUUGAAAAUAGCAAUAUGGCCAUCUUCACAAUAUUGAUUUUUCCUAUCCAUGAGCAUGGAAUUUUUUUCCAUUUGUUUGUGUCCUCUCUUACUUCCUUGAGCAGUGGUUUGUUGUUGUCCUUGAAGAGGUCCUUCACAUCUCUUGUAAGUUGUAUUCUUAGGUAUUUUAUUCUCUUUGUAGCAAUUGUAAAUGGGAAUUCACUCAUGAUUUGGCUCUGCUUGUCUAUUGUUGGUGUAUAGGAAUGCUUGUGAUUUUUGCAUGUUGAUUUUGUAUCCUGAUACUUUUCUGAAGUUGCUUAUCAGCUUAAGGAGUUUUGGGGCAGAACCACAAUGAGAUACCAUCUCACGCCAGUUAGAAUGGCGAUUAUUAAAAAGUCAGGAAACAACAGAUGCUGGCAAGGCUGUGGAGAAAUAGGAAUGCUUUUACACUGUCGGUGGGAAUGUAAAUUAGUUCAACCAUUGUGGAAGACAGUGUGGUGAUUCCUCAAGGAUCUAGAACCAGAAAUACCAUUUGACCCAGCAAUCCCAUUACUGGGUAUAUACCCAAAGGAUUAUAAAUCAUUCUACUAUAAAUACACAUGCACACAUAUAUUUAUUGAAGCACUAUUUACAACAGCAAAAACUUAGAACCAACCCAAAUGCCUAUCAAGGAUAGCCUGGAUAAAGAAAAUGUGGCAAAUAUACCCCAGGGAAUACUAUGAAGCCAUAAAAAACGAUGAGCUCAUGUCCUUUGCAGGGACAUUGAUGAAGCCGGAAGCCAUUAUUCCCAGCAAACCAACACGGGAACAGAAAACUAACCAUUGCAUGUUCUCACUCAUAAAUGGGAGUUGAAAAAUGAGAACACAUGGACACAGGGAAGGGAACACCACACACCGGGGCCUGUUGGGGGGUGGGGCAUAAGGGGAGGGAGAGCAUUAGGACAAAUACCUAAAGCAUGCAGGGCUUAAAACCUAGAUGACAGGUUGAUAGGUGCAGCAAACAACCAUGGCACAUGUAUACCUAUGUAGCAAACCUGCACAUUCUGCACAUGCAUCCCAGAACUAAAAUAAAGUAACAUUUUUUAAAAAAAGAAAAUAGCAAUGACACAUAGGGAGUUUCUGCUUCCUUUUUCUGAAAUUCUGAACUCCAUGUGUUUAGUGGUCUUCGUUCCUACCAUGGGGAAUAUCUAUCAGUGAAACAUAAGCUAUGAUUUUGGCCUGGGCACUUCAGACUCCAUAUGCCAAGGGACAAGUUGGCAAGGGGGGAAUACCAUAUUGAUAGAAGCAAUUGAGCUGAUCAUCAGGAGAAAGGCUGUUAUGACACACUGGGACAGGGGAGGAACAUAUUUGGUACUUGAUUAUCUCAUGGCAAUUCUUUGCCCAGUUUUCAUGAUAAAUUGACAAAUACAGUAGCCACAAUCUAAUAAGGGCUUGAGGACCAGAUGUUUAGACAAUCAGAGAUAUGGGUUUGGGUCAUCCAACCAGGUAAGCCACCAAGACCAGGUGCUAGCUGUGGGAGAAGUGAUUCUAGGAUAGAGUGUAGAGGAAGAGGACAAUAAAUUAUCACAGAUGUAGCCUCAAGCCCAACUGCAUCAAUGAGACAUAGCAUUUCUCCAUUAACUUUCCCCUA
rnacentral:lncRNA from 1 species